rnacentral:tRNA from 1 species
AUUAUUUUGGCAGAUUAGUGCAUUAAAUUUAGAAUUUAAUUAUAUAAGUUAAAAUUAUAAAUAAUA